rnacentral:rRNA from 1 species
AACGAACGUUGGCGGCGUGGAUGAGGCAUGCAAGUCGCGGGAAUCCCAGCAAUGGGGGAACCGGCGUAAGGGGCAGUAAGGCGUAGGUACCUACCCCGUGGUCCGGGAUAGCCCGCCGAGAGGCGGGGUAAUACCGGAUGACCUCGGGAGAGCAAAGCUCCGGCGCCAUGGGCGGGGCCUACGUGAUAUUACCUAGUUGGCGGGGUAACGGCCCACCAAGGGGGGGAUGUCUAGCGGGUGUGAGAGCACGACCCGCGCCACGCGCACUGAGACACUGGCGAGACACCUACGGGUGGCUGCAGUCGAGGAUCUUCGGCAAUGCGCGCAAGCGCGACCGGGCGACGCCGCGUGGGCGACGAAGGCCUUCGGGUUGUAAAGCCCUGUCGAGGGGGAGAAAGGGGAAACCCGGAUCCAUCCCUGGAGGAAGCUCGGGCUAAGUUCGUGCCAGCAGCCGCCGUAA